UUCGAAAGCAUUUACCAAAGACAAAAGAAUUGAAACGAUUGUACCACGUGUAGGAGGAGAUGCUGGAUUGGUUAUGGGACAACGCGUAGGUUUGAGUGCGAAAGAUAUUCUCAAACUUAAAGCUAUGUACAAAUGUGAAAUUUCCACGAUUAAACCCAUAUUUAAUGUGAAUGAUGAGUCGGGUGGAUGUAGCGAAUGGGCGAAUUCUCGAGAUCUUUGUCACAUACAUCCGUGAUACUCUUAACGAAAAACAAAUAUUGACAUCUCACGGUCGGUGCAUGCUGGAUAAAUUCAAUUUUAAAUGAAA